UGCUGUUAUUUUAUCUAAAGAUUAGGUGUAUGCCAACCCCAGCUAACUAACUCUUGCAAAGAUUUAAAGCGCAAUUAUGUGUUUUAUCUCCAGUACAUUGCCACGAUUGUCAGCUAUGUAGCUGCUCUACUGAUAGUCUCAGCGCUUCCUUGCUGGGAUGACACAAUCAAUCUACUGUCGGGAAAUGCAAACUCCCCAGACAAACACCUGGGUUCACCAUUCCACACGAGCGGACAGUACACAUCAUACCAUAAUGUUCUGAAUAAUGGCCAACUCUACCUCGCUCCCUAUUCGACUGAAUCACUUGGGAGUAACAAACACAAGUCCAACACCUACCAGAAUCUGCUAAGCUACCUAUUCACUACCCUCCUGCUCUCUGGGGAGAUGCACCUCAACCCUGGGCCUAACACCACCGAACCAGAAAUACUCACCAGAGUGGAAAGCAGUGGAGGGCUGUGUCGUCAAAUCAUCGCCGCCACUGAGAUUCCAACCUCGACUUCCUCAACCUUUCAGAGACACAGCUCCAUAAAAACUCUCCAUCUGCUGCUUUGAUUGUGAUUGGCUACAAUGUCUUCAGGAGAGACAGGAUUGAAGGAAGAGGAGGGGGUGUGAUGAUUUACAUUAAAGAACACAUCGAUGUAAACAAAUUGAGUGGUCAUGUGAUAAUGAACUAGAAUGUAUUGGCCUAAACGUUACACUGUCUCCCCAAAUGUCUUUUUACCCUCAUUGAAAUGUAUAGACCACCUUCCACCAAAAGUUUUUUUUAAACCAGUUUAAUAACAUACUUAGGAAAUUGGGAAAGAGUGGGAGAUCUUUUUUGGGAAAGAGUGGGAGAUCUUAACAUUAAUUAUGAAGACAAGUCUUGUAGGAAAACCCUCAAACGUAUCACUAAUGCCUUUGACCUUACACAGCCAACCAGGGUGACUUGUUCUUCUAAAACACAUAUCGAUUUGGUGUUCAGUAAUAAACCAGAGAGAUGGUUCAAUAUUCAAUAUGGCUACUGAGCUGUCUGACCAUAAUCUGACACUCAUAGCCAGAAAGCUUUCUAAGAACAGGUUUAACCUCUCUACUGUUAAAAAGCAUCAUAAACUCAGAAUACCUAAGGCUGAAUUUAAAUGAUUUUGAAAACGCAAUUAAGGGAAUUAACUGGAAUGAUCUUCUGUCCUAUACAAAUGUGGAAGCUGACAGUCAUGUUUUUCUAUCCACAAUCCUGACUACAGUAAAUGGCUUCCUAAAGAAAACUAAAUCCAAACCUGGCCAAAAUAGCACUCUUCCUUGUCUAAAUGGAGAAAUCUGGAAACUGAUGAAAGAACGAGAUCGUGCUCUAAAAAGUCCCUAAUUGGAGCAUGACAGAUGUAGGUUUACCAUGUUGAGAAAUAAGGUGAAGCCAAGGAAAAUUCUAAAAUGAUCUGGGAGAAUCGAAAAAAGUUAACAGGGAAAGACCAUAGCAACACUGCAAAAAGACUAGAACUCAAUGUGAAUUACAGUCUAACACAGGAUGCAGUCGAAACAACAGCCUUCAAUUUCUACUUUGUUGACUCUGUCAAUGUACUGACACAGAACACCUCCACUGGUUUCUUUGGCUCACUAAAGAACUCUAAAGCCAAAGAUGUGUUUGGGCUGGACUCUACCUUUCUUAAAAACUACAAAGAGUCACUCACUGGCCCCAUUACUAAGGGCACCAACACAUCUAUUUGCCAGGGGGUGUUUCCAGGGAUCUGGAAGUCGGCCAUAAUAACGCCCAUCUUUAAAUCAGGUGACCUUGCUGACGUGAGUAACUACAGACCCAUUGGUUUACUACCUGUGGUGUCGAAGGUUGCUGAAAAGUGUAUAGCAGAGAAUGAUUGCCCACCUCAACAACAGCCCCUUCACAUUACACUCCAUGCAGUUUGGCUUCAGCGCAAAACGCUCCACAGAAACGGCCAACUGCUUUCUUCUGGAAAAUGUGAAGUCCAAAAUGGACAAAGAGGGCGUUGUUGGGGCUGUGUUCUAGACCUAAGGAAAGCCUUUGAUACUGUUAACCAUGAGAUUCUCAUUACAAAACUGUCCAAGUUCAACUUUUCCCCCGAUGCCUUGAGAUGGAUGAAAUCAUACCUUGAAGGCAGAACCCUGUGUGUCAGAGUGAGCAAUGAGAUGUCUCCCACUCUUAGCUAAGAUGUGGGCAUGCCCCAAGGGUCAAUACUGGGGACCCUCCUGUUCAGUCUGUACAUUAAUGAUUUGCCCUCUGUCUCUGUCUGUACUGGGUCAUGAAGUUCAAAUGUCUGCAGAUGAUACAGUGAUAUAUGUGCAUGCAAAGAGCAAACAAGCUGCACAAGGACUCUACUGCAUUGGUCCAUAUUACAAAGUGGCUCAGUGACUCAUGUUUGCGUCUCAAUGUGUUUGUUAUUCACUGUGCAUUUAUUCCCCGUGUCACUAUUUCAAUUGUAUUUUUAUGUUUUAAUCUUUAUCUUUAACUCUGCAUUGUUGGAAAGGACCCGUAAGUAAGCAUUUCACUGUUAGCCUACCAUCUGUUGUUUACGAAG
ensembl:lncRNA